UAAAAAUUAGUUAAAAUAAUAACAUAAAUUUGUCAAAUUUAAAUUAGCUUAAAAGCUAUUUUUGA
rnacentral:tRNA from 1 species